CAGCCGCCGCGGUAACACGGAGGGAGCUAGCGUUAUUCGGAAUUACUGGGCGUAAAGCGCACGUAGGCGGCUUUGUAAGUUAGAGGUGAAAGCCUGGAGCUCAACUCCGGAAUUGCCUUUAAGACUGCAUCGCUUGAAUCCAGGAGAGGUGAGUGGAAUUCCGAGUGUAGAGGUGAAAUUCGUAGAUAUUCGGAAGAACACCAGUGGCGAAGGCGGCUCACUGGACUGGUAUUGACGCUGAGGUGCGAAAGCGUGGGGAGCAAACAGGAUUAGAUACCCCCGUAGUCCCUGUCUCUUAUAC
rnacentral:rRNA from 1 species